rnacentral:lncRNA from 1 species
GGAAGGAGAACCUGCGCUCAAUGGCCUUCACCUCCUCGGCAGAGAUGAAAUGCCGCACAUUGUAGCUGACGCCCACACGGUUCAGGUGGCCCCGGACGUGGUUGGCCAAGCCGAUACCGUUGUGGAAGCGAUCCGGGCAGUAGGGGCACUUCCGCUCCUCAUGCUUCAGUGCCACUGCCGGGUCCCCAUCCAAGAGUGCGUCCAGCCCCAGCGGGCUGCCCAGUGGCGCGUCCAGGAGCAAGAAGUCCAGGGGGUGAGUGCCCCCCAGCCCCAGCUCCUCGGGCUGCAGCCGUGGGGGCACCCGGGUUGCUGCAGCCAUGACCUGUGGCCCCAGCUUUGCCACCAGCACAACGGGCACCAUCCCUCGGAGCUGCUGCCGCUGUGCCCGAGAGGCCUCAGCUGCCCUCAGAGCUUUUCGGAAAGUCCGCUUCAGGUCCAGGGCCAGCUGUGGGAUGAGGCCAGGGGAAGCUAGGGGUGGAAAGACCCCAUUUUCAGGGGAAAAGUCCAUUUCCGAGGCCAGCGGUAUGUCUUCCUCCUCCUCUUCGCUCCAAGGGUGUCUCCGGUCCCCCAGCUGGCCUGGGAGCCCCUGCGGGUGGACCACGUUCUUGUUUCUACCGGGAUGUAAGGAGUAGGGGGCAGAUGCGAGAGGUGAGGGGAAGGCUGGCCUUCCCGGGGGCCUCUGAUCUGAGCCGCGCAGAAGUGGCUUUGACAGUGGGAAAUCCCUCAUGCCUAGCUGCUGGCAGCCUGGGCCAAAGGCCAGGCUGGGGUCAUAUCCAGCAGGGUUCUCCUGCCACGUGGGGGCCAAGAGCGGCUCAGCUUUGCCAAAGUAGUCCUCGGCAGCAUCAGGGAAGCGGGCAUAUGCCUCCUGGCUGGUGCCCGGCUGGCUGGCAGGGUCCUCCUCAAAAGCCUCGGCAUCCUCCUCCCAGUGGGGGUGGGCAUGUGCGAGCCUCAUGUGCUCCCUGAGCAGGCUCUCGCUGGGUGCGGGGAAGCCACAGAAAACGCAGCCACUGAGCCCCGAGGAGCCUCGGUAGGGUCGAUAGGCGAGGGCGGUGGCAUCAGGGCCCGGGCUGCCGGCCCCGCUGCCGCCCCCGAAGGGCUCCCUGGCGGGCUGGCCCGGGAGCUCACGCACGUGCAGCUUGGCAUGCUGCACAAAGGCCUUGGAGGAAUUGGUGCCAAAGAUGCACUUGGGGCACUGCAGCCGUGCCUCCCGGCCCUCAUCGCCCGGGACCUGCUUCAGUUUCUGGAUCUCUUCAAUGAUCUUCUCCCGGGAGGCCUGGUGCAGCUGGCGGUGCUGCUCCAGGGCGCUGGGGUCCGCAAAGGCCCAGCCACACUCUCCACAGGCCAGCGGGGCCAAGUCGGCGGGGGGCUCCUGGCCCGGGGCUCGGCGGUGCUGGCUCAUGUGCUCCAGAAGGUGCUCCUUCUGCUUAAAGUAGAUGCUGCACUCGAUGCACGGGAACACGGCCGGCUCCUCGUCCUCGUCCUCAUCUGGGCUGGCCACACCCUUGGCCACCUCCUCCAGCAGCUCGCACAGGUAGGGCCCCGUCCGGACCGGGGCCAGCAGCGGCUGCAGCCGCUCCACGGACGCCUCCGAGUUCACUGUCCAGGUCUGCGUGGCCACCUCCGAGGCUGACCUGGGCAGGCCCCAGUCGGAUGGCUGGGCCAGCCCUUCAAGGUCUGCCAGGUGCUCCCUAGUGUCCACCACCGUCACAUCCAAUGACUUAGCGCUAUCUUCUACUGGCACGAGCACCGUCCUGAAGGAGGUGAGGGGCAGGGGCUGGGGUGGCAGGUCCCGGUGCAGCCCUGCAUCCUGGGGUGGGGCCUGCUCAUCUGUGUCCCGGAGCCAGUCGAACCUGGGGUGGCCCCGGGGGGCCUUCUCCAAGAGCUUCGGUUCACCCUGAUGGUGCAAGAACCUUCUAGAGCCCUCGAGCUCAAUGUGGGGUUUCAUGGUUCUCACAAUGACCGAGUCCUCGAACCUCUGCUCAGAUGUGAGGCCCUCCCUGGCUUCCUGGACCAGGGGGUGCUCCCAGGUCCCCUGGCCAUCAGGGGGGCCAGGGAAGUGGCCCAGGA